rnacentral:misc_RNA from 1 species
UUUCCGUAGGUGAACCUGCGGAAGGAUCAUUAACAAUUUGAAUUUGGUUUGACCAAUACAAUGAGGAGAUUUUGGUGUGACUUGUCACGCCAAAAUCGAGUCAUUGUGAUUGGUCAAUUCCUUUUUAAAAACCCCAAACAUUGUGUGCACCAUUUAUAAACACCACAAAAGAAAACGAAUCUUAUGUAUCAUCAAAAAUACAACUUUUAACAACGGAUCUCUUGGCUCUC